CCGAGGGAAGCACAGGCUAAACCACUGUGCGAGGCAUGGGGAGGGAGCGGAGGUAAUGCCUCCCUCCAGCGAAUAUUUAGCUAUCGUAAGCAUUCAUAUAACAAGGGGGCUGAGAAAGGUUUUUCCCGGCUCCACUCUUAAGCAGUUUCCCUAGGACUGUAGGAAUUGACUGAAGAGGCACAAAGCUAAACCAAUGGACUCUCACGGCAAUGGCUCUGGCCCAGCGGCCUCCUUUGUGUUUGUGCCUCAGAACUUUCGCACUUGCUGAUCCCUCUGUUUGGACCAGUCUUACCCCAGAUUUCUGGAUGGGGUGCCAGAUGGCUCAGUUGGUUAGAGCGUGAGCUCUGAACAACAGGGUUGCUG